rnacentral:rRNA from 1 species
AGUGAACGCUGGCGGCGUGCUUAACACAUGCAAGUCGAACGAGAAAGCUCUUCGGAGUGAGUAGAGUGGCGCGACGGGUGAGUAACACGUAGGUAACCUGCCCUUUUGUGGGGGAUAACCAGGAGAAAUCCUGGCUAAUACCGCAUAAGUUGGUAACAAGAAAGGAUGCUUCGGCAUUCGCGAAAGGAGGGGCCUGCGUGACAUUAGCUUGAUGGUGGGGUAAUGGCCUACCAUGGCAACGAUGUCUAACUGGUCUGAGAGGAUGAUCAGUCACACUGGAACUGAGACACGGUCCAG